rnacentral:rRNA from 1 species
ACGUAGGGUGCGAGCGUUAAUCGGAAUUACUGGGCGUAAAGCGUGCGCAGGCGGUUCGUUGUGUCGGUGGUGAAAUCCCCGGGCUCAACCUGGGAAUGGCGAUGGAUACUGGCGAGCUAGAGUGUGUCAGAGGAUGGUGGAAUUCCCGGUGUAGCGGUGAAAUGCGUAGAGAUCGGGAGGAACAUCAGUGGCGAAGGCGGCCAUCUGGGACAACACUGACGCUGAAGCACGAAAGCGUGGGGAGCAAACAGGA